GCGCAGCAGUCGCGAAUACUUUACAAUGUGUGAAAGCACGAUAAGGGAACUCUGAGUGCCUCCUAAGGAGGCUGUUCAGGUGUCUAAAAGCACCUGAAGGAAGGGCUGGGUAAGACCGGUGCCAGCCGCCGCGGUAACACCGGCAGCCCAAGUGGUAGCCACGUUUAUUGGGUCUAAAGCGUCCGUAGCCGGCUGGGUAAGUUCCUUGGGAAAUUCGGCUGCUUAACAGUCAAGCUUUCAGGGAAUACUGCCCGGCUUGGGACCGGGAGAGGUCAGAGGUACUCCAGGGGUAGGGGUGAAAUCCAUUAAUCCUUGGGGGACCACCGGUAGCGAAGGCGUCUGACCAGACCGGGUCCGACGGUGAGGGACGAAGGCUAGGGGCGCGAACCGGAUUAGAUACCCGUGUAGU
rnacentral:rRNA from 1 species